rnacentral:rRNA from 1 species
ACGUACACCCUGCGGGAGGCAGCAGUGGGGAAUAUUGGACAAUGGGCGCAAGCCUGAUCCAGCCAUGCCGCGUGAGUGAUGAAGGCCCUAGGGUUGUAAAGCUCUUUCACCGGCGAAGAUAAUGACGGUAACCGGAGAAGAAGCCCCGGCUAACUUCGUGCCAGCAGCCGCGGUAAUACGAAGGGGGCUAGCGUUGUUCGGAUUUACUGGGCGUAAAGCGCACGUAGGCGGACUAUUAAGUCAGGGGUGAAAUCCCGGGGCUCAACCCCGGAACUGCCUUUGAUACUGGUAGUCUUGAGUUCGAGAGAGGUGAGUGGAAUUCCGAGUGUAGAGGUGAAAUUCGUAGAUAUUCGGAGGAACACCAGUGGCGAAGGCGGCUCACUGGCUCGAUACUGACGCUGAGGUGCGAAAGCGUGGGGAGCAAACAGGAUUAGAAACCCCUGUAGUCCCAUGA